rnacentral:misc_RNA from 1 species
AUCAUUACCAAGUACAACCAUCUACGGACGGGCUGCUACCAACCCUUUGCUGUCCGACCGCGUUGCCUCCGGGGCGACCCUGACCUCCGGGUCUUGGGGGACCCCGGGUGGACACCUAAACUCUGCGUAACUUUGUAGUCUGAGUAAAAGAUUUUAAUAAAUUAAAACUUUCAACAACGGAUCUCUUGGUUCUGGCAUCGAUGAAGAACGCAGCGAAAUGCGAUAAGUAAUGUGAAUUGCAGAAUUCAGUGAAUCAUCGAAUCUUUGAACGCACAUUGCGCCCCGUGGUAUUCCGCGGGGCAUGCCUGUUCGAGCGUCAUUUCACCACUCAAGCCUCGCUUGGUAUUGGGCGACGCGGUCCGCCGCGCGCCUCAAAUCGACCGGCUGGGUCGAUCGCACCCUCAGCGUUGUGGAAACUAUUCGCUAAAGGAGUCGCGGUCGGUCACGCCGUGAAACAAACCAAUUUUCAAUGGUUGACCUCGGAUCAGGUAGGGAUACCCGCUGAACUUAAGCAUAUCAAUAA